rnacentral:tRNA from 1 species
GGGGUUGUGGCUCAGAGGUAGAGCGCUCACCUGCCAUGUGCGAGGCCCUGGGUUCGAUCCCCAGCACCCCA